AUGGCGACCGGCGCACGGGUGAGUAACACGUAUCCAACCUGCCGAUAACUCGGGGAUAGCCUUUCGAAAGAAAGAUUAAUACCCGAUGGUAUAAUCAGACCGCAUGGUCUUGUUAUUAAAGAAUUUCGGUUAUCGAUGGGGAUGCGUUCCAUUAGGCAGUUGGUGAGGUAACGGCUCACCAAACCUUCGAUGGAUAGGGGUUCUGAGAGGAAGGUCCCCCACACUGGUACUGAGACACGGACCAG
rnacentral:rRNA from 1 species